GGAAAUUAUAGAUUACUUACAAACACACAUAAGUUUCUACAACUUUGGAAGCCAAUGGGAGCAGUACUUUUGAGAUUAGACAUGGAUGGACACCAUAGUCAAGUCUUCUCUGGUGCAAUUGAGGAAAAGGACAUAUAAGCAUUUUGCUGCUACAGGGGCUUGGUGACAAGAUGUGGAAAAUGGUGUACAGAUGACCAGAUUAGGUUGAUGGGUGUGUCUCAAAAUGAGUAAGAAUGUAAUAAAUUGAGCAAAGAAAAAUAGGAUUGUGUUUGGGAGGUGUGGUUAAUACAUUAGAGGAUCAUGAAUGGUAGAAUCUGCGAAAGGAGAGUGGUCUUUGAGAAAUGAGAAAGAAGACCAUGCAAUCACAUGGUAGGGCUUGUGCUCUUUAACAUCAGAGGUACUAUUCCAGAUCAACUUAGAGGUUGUGUUGGUGUCUUCAAAGACAUUGAGCUCAGGUCAUAGAAAAAUCAAAACAAACAAACAAACAAAAAACAACAACAAAAAAGGAAAAGCAUUGCUAUAUAUUUUCUACUGGGAUAAAUUUAUCAUAUUAUGAACACCUUGUAAAUCUUUGUUUGUCAUUGUUUAAAUUAUGAAUUAUUCUACUGUCAACUGGGUUGAUAAUAACCAAAUAUGUGAAAAUUUGUAAGCACAGUCUCACUUAAU
rnacentral:lncRNA from 1 species